rnacentral:rRNA from 1 species
UUAAACCUCUUCCAGAGUAUCAAUUGGAGGGCAAGUCUGGUGCCAGCAGCCGCGGUAAUUCCAGCUCCAAUAGCGUAUAUUAAAAUUGUUGCAGUUAAAAAGCUCGUAGUUGAAUUUCUGCUGCAUUGCAUCUUCUUUUUGAUGAGUUGAUGUAUUGUGGCUUAUUUCGGAUGAUACUUGUAUUAUCCGGAUGAUUACUUUGAGAAAAUUAGAGUGCUCAAAGCAGGCUUUUGCCUUGAAUAGUUUAGCAUGGAAUAAUAAAGUAGGACUUUGGUUCUAUUUUGUUGGUUUUAGGUACCAAAGUAAUGGUUAAUAGGAACAGUUGGGGGCAUUCGUAUUUAACUGUCAGAGGUGAAAUUCUUAGAUUUGUUAAAGACGAACUACUGCGAAAGCAUUUGCCAAGGAUGUUUCCAUUAAUCAAGAACGAAAGUUAGGGGAUCGAAGACGAUCAGGUACCGUCGUAGUCCUAACCAUAAACUAUGCCGACUAGAGAUUGGAGGUCGUCAGUUUUUACGACUCCUUCAGCACCUUGAGAGAAAUCAAAGUCUUUGGGUUCUGGGGGGGGUAUGGUCGCAAGGCUGA